ACAUCUUGCAUGUUUGCGCUAUGAGAAGGCCUGGAUACGGCACCGGAGAUAAAUUUUCUAACCUCGGCCAGAAUGUCCUGAGGCGACAAAGUCGUUGUGUUGUGCAGCAUUUUCGAAUCGUCUACAAUAAUGCUUCAAUUAAUAUAUAACGUGGAAGGAAUUAUGUAUUCUUGGAAGUAAAAAGCCUUCAAAUGUCAGUAUAAAUAAUCAUAAAAUAACAUUCUACAUCACUUGGAUCAUCCUGCAAUUGUAACAAUUAUUGCAGUAGGCAUAAAGAAGAAAUUACAUUCUCAACAAUUUGACAUAAUCACAAGAUAGUACCUUCAAAGCUGCCACACCGUCGGAUGGACCUGCCUGAUA